CUGGCGGGAGCAAGCGUCCGUCUGAGCUCUGGACGGUUCGUCUACGACGGCCACACAGAAAAGCACGGACACCCGUGGGCACCUCAGCCAGCUGCUGGCUGUGACCUGCCCCUGGGGGAGCGCGUGCCGGGCACCCACCCGAGCACGGAAUGUACGGUGAGGCCGUCCAGAUACGAGCAUCCCACGUGAGACUGAAGAGGCGCAGUGGGCUGUCCGGCCCGGGGCCCCCAGCGCCGCGGCCCCCCAAAGCAGGGAGACUGCUAGGACCCCCCCAAGCCUGGAGGGAGGAAGCACAGCAGGGAGCGCCCCACCUUCCCUCAGCCGGGGACUCUGGGCAAAUUCUCUCCAUCCUUGACCCUGCCUUUGCCCACUGGAAAAGUUGGAUCCUAAGAGGACGCAGCCCUCAGGGCUCUGACCUGCCAGAAGGAGUCAACAUGGGCUCUGGGGAGCGGCCCCCGGAGCAGCAUGGGCGCUCCCGAAGCAAGACCCGAAGCCAUCACUGUGAGCCGUUCUGUCUCCCAAGCGCGCCGUGACACAGGCCCGGCUUUGGAGCUGGAACCAGACGGUUCCCCCCGAGGACCCCGGCAGCCACGCCUUCCUGCCCCCACUCCUCCCGUGAGCGUUGAAAGAAAAAAAAAAAAAACCCAAAGUCUGUUAUUAAAUCAGCUUCAUUUUUAUUGGGUUCCAACCAAACACAGCAAGAGGGGGCUGGGGGCUUGGGGGGUUCCGGGUUCAUGUUGGGGUGGGAGGUGGGGGAUCCCAGGGCACCGCCGGUGUGCGUGUCCUGACGCUGCUGAGAACACACCCGCCCAUCGCUGAUGAUGCUAAAGGCACUUGGAUGUCAUUUUGAGGGGCCCUUGGGGUUGUUAUGGCAACCAAGGUCAGGAGGAUGUGAAGGGAGAAAACCAGUCGGUUCUGCCCCACUCAGGCGGAGUUCGGGGGCACAGGACACCCCCUUCAGCCAUCGCUGCGUCCCGCCACGAGUGGGGUUGAGGCAGGAGGGAGCAGGACCAAGGCCUACCGUGUCCAGCCACACAGCCCGGGAGGAGGGCCAGUAUCCCCUCCAGGUUCUGUCUGGAUCCUGUGCUCAAAACCCCCAGUCUUGGCCCAGCUUUCUCUCUGGCUCAUCUCAGAAAGAUCUUGAAGGAUCUGGGAUCCAGGACAACCAUCAAGCCGGUCCGGGCACGUGGCCUCAGAUAUGUGCAGCCGUGGAUUUGACCUCAGACCUACAUUACAGACGAGGACCCCAGGGUCCAGGGGUUCUCAGCCAUCAGCUAUAAUUGUACUCCUGGAAGGGAACAGACCUG